CGUGUAGGCGGACUCAGAAGUCGGGUGUGAAAGCCCUGGGCUUAACCCAGGAAGUGCGCUCGAAACCAUGAGUCUUGAGGUCCGGAGGGGAUCGGGGAAUUCCUGGUGUAGAGGUGAAAUUCGUAGAUAUCAGGAGGAACACCGGCGGCGAAGGCGCCGAUCUGGACGGAUUCUGACGCUGAGACGCGAAAGCGUGGGUAGCAAACAGGAUUAGAUACCCUGGUAGUCCACGCCGUAAACGAUGUGCACUAGGUGUCGGGGGAAUUGACCCCCUCGGUGCCGACGCUAACGCAUUAAGUGCACCGCCUGGGAAGUACGGCCGCAAGGUUGAA
rnacentral:rRNA from 1 species